AAGCACAUCAAGGAGGAAAUUCUAAGAUAGCCGAAGGAAAUACAUUUGCGGAUCGGAUGGCUAGACGAAUUGCACGACAGGUACAGACUGUUAUGGCCCUGGUACCAACGAAGGUAAGCCCAUUACAGAAUUAUAUGAAUCAAAGACCAAGAUACUCGAAAGAAGAUGUUAAAUUAGCUGAAUUAGUAAAGGCUCGACUGAACCCGGAAGGAUGGUACGUAACCACUACUGGACAAGUGGUAGUAUCACCUGCCAUCAUGCGGACAAUUUUACAAACCGAACAUCAAAAAUGUCAUUGGGGGGCAGAGGCAUGGGUAACAUAUUUAAAACGAGGAAUAAUCUCUACACAGAUGUUAACAAUGGCAAAAUCCAUAGGAUCUAAAUGCGAAAUUUGUUUGAAAAACAAUCCAGUAGUCAGAAGGAGAGUAGAAAUGGGACAUAUCAGAGUAGGUAUAGAGCCGGGUGACUAUUGGCAAAUUGAUUUUGUGGAAUUACCCAAGACACAGGGAUACCAAUACUUGUUAGUAGGGGUUGACACUUUUCUGGAUGGCCAGAAGCCUCUCCCUGUCUCAUCAAUCAGGCUAAAGAAACAGUGAAAUGGUUGUUGAAAGAACAUGGUGUUUGUGGAUAUCUCAAGGAUAGAGCCGAUCACUGCUGUGUGCAUAUACCAAACGUAACUGCAGAUAUAGAAUAUGACAUUACUCAGUUGGGAAAAAUUGAAAAGGAAGCCGAAAAGGAAAAAGAAGAAAUAAGUCAAAAUUGGGUAGGAGCAUUGUUUGAUGGAUUGGGAAUCCACCUUACUGGAUGGAUUCAUUCCCUCAUAGAAACAGUGUUUACUCUAUUACUUGUGUUCCUUGUAAUCUAUUUGGUAUAUUUUUGUAUUCGAAGAGAAAUGACCCGAAAUACCAGCUGGACGCAUAAAAUCAUUGGAGCAGUGACUCAAGACUAUCCACGACACCCAACACCUCCACCUUCUACUUAUCAGGAAACAACUACAUGAGUGAAAAUACUUGCAGAAAAUGAAGUAUUUUCAAAGGGGGGAAAUGUUAGAAAUCAUAACGUUUGAUUAACAGAAGUUUAAUCAAGUUUUAAUACAUACAUAUAUAGCAUUCAGCCUUACUGAUUUGGUUGAUUUGUGUUUUAGGUCAGAGAGACCUAGUACCUAGGAUAUGGACAUAGAUUUAUGAGACUAUUCAAGCGAUAUCCCUAUAAGGUAGUGGUUUGGAAGGAACAGUACUUUAAAGAUUAUUCAAGUAGAACUUUUAAUUGUGUUAAGAAACAGAGUUGUAUACUAAGAACCAGUCAAGGAGAGAGAGAAGGAUACUGGCGCAAACACAAUCGUUGGGAUUUAUCCAGGACUCUAAAAGGUAAAAAGGACAUAGUGAGGAAGACGUCUUACUUCAUCUGAGGAAGACUACUUACUUCAUCCUGACGACCACCAGAAGGGGGCUGCGCAAGCGCAGAAACAACUGAUGAUGUAAUCAGGAGAUGAUGCAAUUUAUAAAUACAUAUGUAUGAGAGGAGGAUGUAACCUGUUGAAUAUACAUUAGAUUGUGAAAUCUUAGUAGGAUAAAUUGCGGGCGCAUUGUGACGGUCUUUGGAACCAGAUUUGGGUGCGUACCCCUGGUUCCUGGGGCCUCGAAAUAAAGCACCACAUAUAACCUC
ensembl:lncRNA